rnacentral:rRNA from 1 species
UACGUAGGGGGCAAGCGUUGUCCGGAUUUAUUGGGCGUAAAGAGCGUGUAGGCGGCUAGAUAGGUCCGUUGUGAAAACUCGAGGCUCAACCUCGAGACGCCGGUGGAAACCAUCUAGCUAGAGUCCGGAAGAGGAGACUGGAAUUCCUGGUGUAGCGGUGAAAUGCGCAGAUAUCAGGAGGAACACCGAUGGCGAAGGCAGGUCUCUGGGCAUUAACUGACGCUGAGGAGCGAAAGCAUGGGGAGCGAACAGG